AUUGACCGCUGGCGGCAGGCCUAACACAUGCAAGUCGAACGAGUGGCGGACGGGUGAGUAAUGUCUGGGAAACUGCCUGAUGGAGGGGGUUAACUACUGGAAACGGUAGCUAAUACCGCAUACCAUUUGAUGGUCCCAGUUGGGAUUAGCGAGUUGGUGGGGUAACGGCUCACCAAGGCGACGAUCCCUAGCUGGUCUGCGAGGAUGACCAGCCACACGUGAACGUAGACCCGGUGCAGACUCCUUCGGGAGGCAGCAGUGGGGAAUAUUGCACAAUGGGCGCAAGCCGGAUGCAGCCAUGCCGCGUGUAUGAAGAAGGCCUUCGGGUUGUAAAGUACGUUCAGCGGGGAGGCGUUAGCCGCAGAAGAAGCACCGGCUAACGCCGUGCCAGCAGCCGCGGUAAUUC
rnacentral:rRNA from 1 species